AUGGAGUGUGCCGAGCAAAUACUUAUUUUGAGUUGGGGUCAUUUCGCUGAAAUAGUGGACCUACCCGCACCAUCGCGCGCGUCUGAGAUUCAACUUUCAAGUACAGAAUCAAUCACUUCACAGCGGAGAAAGGAUGAAAAUUCAGAAGAAUGUCAUCAGUGUCGGAACAACACUGCAAGACAUGUGGACUGCUCAAGCUGCAAGAAGAGAUAUUGUGUCCGAUGCAUUAAGAAAUGGUAUUCAAAUUUAAUUGAAGAUCAUGUUAAGAAUAGAUGCCCAUGUUGUCACAAUAAUUGCAAUUGCAUGGAUUGUCUGCAGAGUGAUAUAAUGCAUAAGAUUGACAAAUGGAAUGUAUCACAUGAAGAUAGAAUCAAAUUUGCUCAUCGAACUAUAUACUUUUUGCUUCCUUGGUUGAAAAAACUUCACGAGGACCAGAUACAAGAGAAACGUAUUCAGGCCAUAAUUGACGUUAUAAAGUAUGAGGUGAAUAAGAAAACCUUUUCUUAUAUUAGUUUUCCAAUCUGUAAAACAUGCCACAACUAUUGCAGGACAUGUAUUGUUGACCUCUAUAGAGGUUGCGAAUGUGGACAUUAUGAUCUCUGCCUCAGCUGCUGCCAGGAGCUUCGUGAUGGUUCUCUGGUUAAAAAGGAUAAGAAAUUGAGGGCAAAACCGAAUGGGAGUAUACUUUGCCCACCAAAGGCAGCAGGUGGUUGUCGUUGUAGAGGUCAUGCUCUUAAACUUAAGGGUAUUUUCAAAGAAAAUUUUAUUUCUGACUUACUGGAGAAAACCAAUUCAGUGGUUGACAAAAGAAUGCUAGAAGAGGGAGGUUCAAAAUGUUUUUGCCUUACCAAAUCUGGUGAGAUAAACACCAAUACAUCACGACAAGCAGCCUGUAGAAAGAACCCCAUCGAUAACUACAUAUACUGCCCAACUGCUAAAGAUGUUCAAAGUGGUGCUUUAGAACAUUUCCAGGAGCACUGGUUAAAGGGUGAGCCUGUUAUUGUCUGUGAUGUGCUUGGGUCAACUUCUGGACUGAGUUGGGAACCAACGGUAAUGCAUCGGGGCUUGCGAAAGAAGAAAAACAAGAAUGGGGAUCAGCGGCUCACAGUUGAAGCUAUUGAAUGCCUGACGGGGUGUGAGGUUGGUAUAAAUAUUUGUCGCUUUUUUGAGGGGUAUUCCUAUGGAGCCGUUGGUCCUGAAGAUUUGCCCAUUGGACUUAAGCUUAAAGAUUGGCCGCCCCAUAGCACCUUUGGAGAGGAACUCCCGCGGCACGAUGCUGAGUUUAGAUCUGCAUUGCCAUUUCGUGAAUAUACCGAUCCGAUAUGUGGCCCUCUUAAUCUGGCUGUGAGACUUCCAAAAGAUGUUAAAAAGCCAGACCUUGGUCCAAAGACUUACAUUGCUUAUGGGUUUGCCCAAGAACUGGGAAUUGGUGACUCUCUUACAUAUCUUCAUUGUGACGUUGCCGACGCGGUAAAUGUCCUCGUACAUACUCAUGGAACAAAGCUCAAACUUCAAAGGCUUACAGCUAUAGAGAAAAGGAAAGACAGUUUGCUCAAUGAAGAAAGGACUAGAAAUCUUCAAGCUUCACCAGAUCAUAGUGAUGUAGGAAUUAAGGUGGACGUUAGUCUCAUAAAGCCUGAGCCAAAAGACGAUGGUCUGCCUUUCGUAGAGGGAGACCAGCCAGAGGGUGGUGCUCUGUGGGAUAUAUUCCGACGGGAAGAUGUUGGCAUUCUAGAGGAAUAUCUAACAGCGCAUGCUGGGGAGUUUAGGAACAAUUCUGAACUGGUGAAACAGGUUACUGAUCCGAUACAUGAUCAUUGCUUUUAUCUAACAAAAGAGCACAAGAGAAAGCUUAAGGAACAAUAUGGAGUUGAGCCUUGGACAUUUGAACAAAAACUUGGUGAGGCGGUCUUUAUCCCCACGGGAUGUCCCCACCAAGUCAGAAAUUUGAAGUCAUGUACAAAGGUUGCGCUGGAUUUUGUUUCUCCGGAAAAUUUUGAAGAGUGUAUCAAGUAUACAAACAAAAUUCGUGAGCUCCCGAACAACCAUAUGGUGAAUGAAGAUAAAUUAGAGGUUAAGAAGAUAGCUAUUCAUGCACUCAGACAUGCCGUUGAUUACAUCAUUGGAUGA
rnacentral:rRNA from 1 species